UGCAAGUCGAGCGGGCCCUUCGGGGUCAGCGGCGGACGGGUGAGUAACGCGUGGGAACGUGCCUUCUGGUUCGGAAUAACCCUGGGAAACUAGGGCUAAUACCGGAUACGCCCUUUUGGGGAAAGGUUUACUGCCGGAAGAUCGGCCCGCGUCUGAUUAGCUAGUUGGUGGGGUAACGGCCUACCAAGGCGACGAUCAGUAGCUGGUCUGAGAGGAUGAUCAGCCACACUGGGACUGAGACACGGCCCAG
rnacentral:rRNA from 1 species